AGAAGGAGAGCCAGGACUCCUGGGUUCUCCCCAUUUCUCCCGAUUUGCUGUGUGACAUUGCCAAUCCUGGAGAUUUCAUCACAACCCUAGUCCCCUCCCUGCUCGGUUUCCCCUGGUAAAGCAGCUCUUGAUCUUUUUGUACUCAUGUGAUUUCCAACUCUUCUACUUUUAUUUUCGGUUCCAGGAAACCCUGUCUUCGGUCCCCACCCAAGGGAAAGGGAUUUCUCUUCACUGCUCCCAGCCGAGGGAACACAGCCCGCGGUGGGCUCCAGUUCCAAGAUGUCGCAGCCUCUCUGGCUGGCCGCCCUGGUCACCAUCUCCCAGGCUCGGAUGUCUACAGUGCAGCACGUCAGCCAAGCAGCGGUACCGCUGAUCCGCUAUGGCGAUCUCCUUCCCCUGGACCCAACGCAGCCUGGGCUGCAAGGCCAGAAUGGAUUCAACAGCACGUCGCCUGUGCUGGUGAGGUGUGUGGGGCUGGAAACGUUGGGGGUGUGACCCGAGGUGACUGGGGCAGCUCUCACUGAAAACGCCAAGGUCAGGGCAGGCUGUGAAAAGGAGAGCAGAAGAUUCUCCCCAAACUGGAGGUUCACACUGAAGUUAGACUCACCAACCCAUCACAAACUGAGCUUCUCACCCCCCACUUCCCCCGCGCCGGUUAUCA